GGGUUGUGAGGUUAAGCGACCAAGCGUACACGGUGGAUGCCCUGGCAGUCAGAGGCGAUGAAGGACGUGCUAAUCUGCGAAAAGCGCCGGCGAGGUGAUAUGAACCCUUGACCCGGCGAUGUCCGAAUGGGGAAACCCAGUGUGACUCGUCACACUAUCAUUAACUGAAUCCAUAGGUUAAUGAGGCGAACCGGGGGAACUGAAACAUCUAAGUACCCCGAGGAAAAGAAAUCAACCGAGAUUCCCCCAGUAGCGGCGAGCGAACGGGGAGGAGCCCAGAGCCUGAAUCAGCAGGUGUGUUAGUGGAAGUGUCUGGAAAGGCACGCGAUACAGGGUGACAGCCCCGUACACGAAAAUGCACCUGGUGUGAGCUCGAUGAGUAGGGCGGGACACGUGGUAUCCUGUCUGAAUAUGGGGGGACCAUCCUCCAAGGCUAAAUACUCCUGACUGACCGAUAGUGAACCAGUACCGUGAGGGAAAGGCGAAAAGAACCCCGGCGAGGGGAGUGAAAAAGAACCUGAAACCGUGUACGUACAAGCAGUGGGAGCACAGGUUUACCUGUGUGACUGCGUACCUUUUGUAUAAUGGGUCAGCGACUUAUAUUCUGUAGCAAGGUUAACCGUAUAGGGGAGCCGCAGGGAAACCGAGUCUUAAUUGGGCGUUAAGUUGCAGGGUAUAGACCCGAAACCCGGUGAUCUAGCCAUGGGCAGGUUGAAGGUUGGGUAACACUAACUGGAGGACCGAACCGACUAAUGUUGAAAAAUUAGCGGAUGACCUGUGGCUGGGGGUGAAAGGCCAAUCAAACCGGGAGAUAGCUGGUUCUCCCCGAAAGCUAUUUAGGUAGCGCCUCGUGAAUUCAUCUCCGGGGGUAGAGCACUGUUUCGGCUAGGGGGCCAUCCCGGCUUACCAACCCGAUGCAAACUGCGAAUACCGGAGAAUGUUAUCACGGGAGACACACGGCGGGUGCUAACGUCCGUCGUGAAGAGGGAAACAACCCAGACCGCCAGCUAAGGUCCCAAAGUCAUGGUUAAGUGGGAAACGAUGUGGGAAGGCCCAGACAGCCAGGAUGUUGGCUUAGAAGCAGCCAUCAUUUAAAGAAAGCGUAAUAGCUCACUGGUCGAGUCGGCCUGCGCGGAAGAUGUAACGGGGCUAAACCAUGCACCGAAGCUGCGGCAGCGAACGUAUCACCCAAGACAACUUUGCACAGUUGACGAUUGACGGAGCGAAGCGACGUCAAAGCGUUUUACAAAGUCGAGUUGGCUUAGGGAUACGUUCGUUGGGUAGGGGAGCGUUCUGUAAGCCGUUGAAGGUGGCCUGUGAGGGUUGCUGGAGGUAUCAGAAGUGCGAAUGCUGACAUAAGUAACGAUAAAGCGGGUGAAAAGCCCGCUCGCCGGAAGACCAAGGGUUCCUGUCCAACGUUAAUCGGGGCAGGGUGAGUCGACCCCUAAGGCGAGGCCGAAAGGCGUAGUCGAUGGGAAACGGGUUAAUAUUCCCGUACUUGGUGUUACUGCGAAGGGGGGACGGAGAAGGCUAUGUUGGCCGGGCGACGGUUGUCCCGGUUUAAGCGUGUAGGCUGGUUUUCCAGGCAAAUCCGGAAAAUCAAGGCUGAGGCGUGACGACGAGGCACCACGGUGCUGAAGCAACAAAUGCCCUGCUUCCAGGAAAAGCCUCUAAGCCUCAGGUAACACCAAAUCGUACCCCAAACCGACACAGGUGGUCAGGUAGAGAAUACCAAGGCGCUUGAGAGAACCCGGGUGAAGGAACUAGGCAAAAUGGUGCCGUAACUUCGGGAGAAGGCACGCUGACAUGUAGGUGAAGCGGUUUACCCGUGGAGCUGAAGUCAGUCGAAGAUACCAGCUGGCUGCAACUGUUUAUUAAAAACACAGCACUGUGCAAACACGAAAGUGGACGUAUACGGUGUGACGCCUGCCCGGUGCCGGAAGGUUAAUUGAUGGGGUUAUCCGUAAGGAGAAGCUCCUGAUCGAAGCCCCGGUAAACGGCGGCCGUAACUAUAACGGUCCUAAGGUAGCGAAAUUCCUUGUCGGGUAAGUUCCGACCUGCACGAAUGGCGUAAUGAUGGCCAGGCUGUCUCCACCCGGGACUCAGUGAAAUUGAACUCGCUGUGAAGAUGCAGUGUACCCGCGGCAAGACGGAAAGACCCCGUGAACCUUUACUAUAGCUUGACACUGAACACUGGUCCUUGAUGUGCAGGAUAGGUGGGAGGCUUUGAAGCGUGGACGCCAGUCUGCGUGGAGCCGUCCUUGAAAUACCACCCUUUAAUGGCUGGUGUUCUAACGUGGGCCCCUUAUCGGGGUUGCGGACAGUGUCUGGUGGGUAGUUUGACUGGGGCGGUCUCCUCCCAAAGAGUAACGGAGGAGCACGAAGGUUGGCUAAUCCUGGUCGGACAUCAGGAGGUUAGUGCAAUGGCAUAAGCCAGCUUGACUGCGAGCGUGACGGCGCGAGCAGGUGCGAAAGCAGGUCAUAGUGAUCCGGUGGUUCUGAAUGGAAGGGCCAUCGCUCAACGGAUAAAAGGUACUCCGGGGAUAACAGGCUGAUACCGCCCAAGAGUUCAUAUCGACGGCGGUGUUUGGCACCUCGAUGUCGGCUCAUCACAUCCUGGGGCUGAAGUAGGUCCCAAGGGUAUGGCUGUUCGCCAUUUAAAGUGGUACGCGAGCUGGGUUUAGAACGUCGUGAGACAGUUCGGUCCCUAUCUGCCGUGGGCGCUGGAAGAUUGAGGGGGGCUGCUCCUAGUACGAGAGGACCGGAGUGGACGCAUCACUGGUGUUCGGGUUGUCAUGCCAAUGGCACUGCCCGGUAGCUAAAUGCGGAAGAGAUAAGUGCUGAAAGCAUCUAAGCACGAAACUUGCCCCGAGAUGAAUCUUCCCUGAGACUUUGAGUCUCCUGAAGGAACGUUGAAGACGACGACGUUGAUAGGCCGGGUGUGUAAGCGCAGCGAUGCGUUGAGCUAACCGGUACUAAUGAACCGUGAGGCUUAACCUUACAACGCCGAAG
rnacentral:rRNA from 1 species